GUCAAGCUGGGCACUGGAGCCCAGGCACCCAGCAUCCAGAAACAUCAAGGAUUACAAAUCCCAUCGGAUUGGCAUGGUUUCCAGACCUUUCACCAUCCUGGCUGCCCUCCUCUGGACAUGUUCCAGCUUGCCCACAUCCCCCUUGAAGAGUGGUGAUCAAAACUGGAUGCAGUAUUCCAGCUAAGAGCAAAGUAACACCUGUAGGAGGCCAAGAAAAUGACAAAUACCAUCUCUAUUUGAGCCCUAAUGAAAAGCUUGAUUCACUAGCAACAGACAUGCACAGCAACACUUUGGGAACCUGGCUGGAGCUGCAUGUAUUGUAUGAUUAUUUGGCAUCAUGUUUUAAUAUUAUAAAUGUCCUGGGGGGGGGGACACAAAGUCGGGUGGACGUUUUAAAAAUAAACAAAUAUGCCAGCUAGCUUCCAAUUCAGCUGUCUUUCUUGAUUUAGGGAUCUCAACUCAAGGUGAAACUAGGUUGGGUGGGU